CUAAAUAAAUUAAAGGGGCGGCAAUUUGUCUUUUUGUCCGGGGCGACAUAAAUGCUUGAGCGGGUGCUGAUCACGCGAAUCUUUUCUGCCCGUCUACUGCGUAGUGUAUAAGCACUUGUAUUCAGAAACAUGAAAAACGAUGAUUCUUUUAUUGCGGAAAAUUCAUCUUCAGGUUCGACGUCCACUACAAGAUUUUCUUAUUGAGUGUUCUCCUCGCUUUAAAUAUUAAAUAGGCGAUGCCUUCACAACUGAAAGAUAAGUGUAAAUCCAAUUUUUGAUCAUUGCAAGAGUUAUUAUUAAUGUGAAAUCUUUUUAUUUUCAGGUUUCAAGUCGUCCAAAAGGGAAGUAUGUGUCUAUAAUUAGCGUAUUGCUGAUUGAUUACUUAUGAUUUCACUUUUAUUUCAGGUACGGAGUUUCAGGUAGUGCGUUGCUCUUAUGAUGCGUCAUUCCAAUGCGUAAUAAUAGUUUUAGACAAAGAGUCGCAUACAUUAUCGACAUUUUUGUUGUGGAAAUGAGGCGAUUCCAGUUUUUCCCGUAAUGUGGAUGCUGCCUAGACAUUACGGGGUUUCUGGACAAACAAAAAACCCACGGAGAAGGGUGAGACUUUGAUGAUGGUUCCGUGGCUUGAAAGGGAAUUUAUUUUCUGUCACUAACUUCACCCGGCAGAAGAAAUUAAAAUUAUUAUUAUUAACACUAAA